GGGGGAUAUUGCACAAUGGAGGAAACUCUGAUGCAGCAACGCCGCGUGAGGGAAGACGGUUUUCGGAUUGUAAACCUCUGUCCUUGGUGACGAAAAAAAUGACGGUAGCCAAGGAGGAAGCUCCGGCUAACUACGUGCCAGCAGCCGCGGUAAUACGUAGGGAGCGAGCGUUGUCCGGAUUUACUGGGUGUAAAGGGUGCGUAGGCGGCUCUGCAAGUCAGGCGUGAAAUACAUGGGCUUAACUCAUGGACUGCGUUUGAAACUGUGGAGCUUGAGUGAAGUAGAGGUAGGCGGAAUUCCCGGUGUAGCGGUGAAAUGCGUAGAGAUCGGGAGGAACACCAGUGGCGAAGGCGGCCUACUGGGCUUUAACUGACGCUGAGGCACGAAAGCAUGGGUAGCAAAC
rnacentral:rRNA from 1 species